GAAUAUUGGACAAUGGUCGCAAGACUGAUCCAGCCAUGCCGCGUGCAGGAAGACGGCCCUAUGGGUUGUAAACUGCUUUUGUACGGGAAGAAUAAGGUUUACGUGUAGACUGAUGACGGUACCGUACGAAUAAGCACCGGCUAACUCCGUGCCAGCAGCCGCGGUAAUACGGAGGGUGCAAGCGUUAUCCGGAAUCAUUGGGUUUAAAGGGUCCGUAGGCGGAUGUAUAAGUCAGGGGUGAAAGUUUGCCGCUCAACGGUAAAAUUGCCUUUGAUACUGUAUGUCUUGAAUGCGUGUGAAGUGGUUAGAAUGUGUAGUGUAGCGGUGAAAUGCAUAGAUAUUACACAGAAUACCGAUUGCGAAGGCAGAUCACUAAUACGUUAUUGACGCUGAUGGACGAAAGCGUGGGGAGCGAACAGGA
rnacentral:rRNA from 1 species